GGGGCUGUAAAGGUUUCGACAGGAAUACGUUUGGUAUUAACUGCAGUCGUGUGACCCACGUAAAUCGUCAAUCCAAUUUAACUGGAAAAACUAAAUUAUCAAGCUUCUUUGGUGGAAACCAAAGUGUAGCUUUCGCUGCUUAAUUUAACCUAAAAACUGGUUUGCAGCCUGAUGUUGUUGCGUAGCUUUCCGUUUCAAUAUCUAGUACAGAUGAAAGAUAAGGCAGUGUGCUGAUCUAGAGCACUGCUCGAAAACUUAAUAGAUCACAUUAAUAGAUUAUCGGUGUUUAUAACGUACUAUUAAUUAUAAGAAUAAACUAAACUGUAGAGGUUAAUACGUGGGACUGUUUUUGGACAGGGGUUCGACUCCCCUCAGCUCCACCA
rnacentral:tmRNA from 1 species